GAUGAAGAACGUAGCGAAAUGCGAUAAGUAGUGUGAAUUGCAGAAGUACCGUGAAUCAUCGAAUCUUUGAACGCAAAUUGCACUCUCUGGUAUUCCGGGGAGUAUGCCUGUUUGAGGGUCGCUUAACAAACCAUCGAUUUCGUUGCUUUUUUUUAAAAAAGUGAUGUUUAUCGGAUUUGAGCCGUCUUUUUUUUUUAUAUUUAAGUGGCUUAAAAUUGAUUUUUUUGGUACGAUCGAAGCGUAUUUUUAUGAUCAAUUUUUGGUUAAAGAAACGCACGCGUACCGUUAUUUAUAUGAUGUAAUACGUUUGACUAUUGGAUUUAGUUCAUUCGUAUACGAUAUUUUUCAAUAUUUGACCUCAAAUCAGGUAAGAACACCCGCUGAACUUAAGCAUAUCAAUAAGCGGAGGA
rnacentral:misc_RNA from 1 species